UUUCAAGGAGAUCUUUGAGAAGAAAAUCUUCUUUCAGAGAAGAUCUUUGCAUUAUCAGGGGGUGAGGAAAAGUAGCAUUGUAAGCUUUACCACAAAGCAGAGUUCAAUACACUAUGUUGAGGCUUUUUGCUGGGAACAGGGUGUGUGCGGGCUGAAAAGCACUGAGGAGGAACUGAGGCCAUGGCUGAUCCAGGAGGGUGCCCAGAGCAGCUCUGCAGGCGAGGUUAGUGCCUUCGCUUCUCUGUCAUCACCAGUCCCUGAGAGCAAUCACCACCCACCAACAGUUCCUCAAGAUAAGACUGAGCCAGCUGGGAGAAGAAAGCCUUUGAUAUUUCGCUGCCUCGCUGACUCACGUCUCAGAGUGGACCAGCAGAGGUGACUGGGCAUAUAAGAAUAACACUGGACAGAAGGCUGGUACAGCAUCAAAGACCAUCUGUGCUGAUGGGUGGAGGUGCACAGGCCUCUGCUGGCCAGGACAGCAGCAUCAGUCCAGCACCAGAUGAGCACAUCUUCACUGCUUGGAUAGAGACUGGACCAACCCUUGAUUUGUGGAAAUGGUCCUCUCCUGCUUCAUCGUGAGGUAAAUUGUCUGGUGGCUAACGGGCUAUGAGUGUGUGGUGGAGGAAAUGAGAAGGCCUUCAAACCUCCAGGGCUAAUGAUCUCACACCCUCAGAGAUACAGUACCACUCAACCUGUUCUCAGGCAAGUGACAGUAUCUCAGUGUCCCUCUCGGAGGUCCCCAGCUGCCGUGCCUCACGCACUAAAAAGCCUGACAGGUAAUCCAGUCGGUGUGAAGAGGGCUGCAGGUAGGUAGCCAUCAGGAGAGCAUGAAGGCCGCAGUUGUUUCCAGAGCCUGAGGAGUAGCAAGAGGUCCCUGCUCAGACCUAAGCAAGAACGAGCACAGUUAUACUGGCCUAGCGGUUAUGAUUUAAGGUAGUUUUAGUGAUUAACUGCAAAAGUAGGAUAAACAGCACUGUACAGUAAAUAAACUCUUUCUGUUAGACA
rnacentral:lncRNA from 1 species